UACGAAGGGGGCUAGCGUUGUUCGGAAUUACUGGGCGUAAAGGGCGCGUAGGCGGUGUCUUAAGUCAGGCGUGAAAGCCCUGGGCUCAACCUGGGAAUUGCGCUUGAUACUGGGACGCUUGAGUUCGGGAGAGGCGGGUGGAAUUCCCAGUGUAGAGGUGAAAUUCGUAGAUAUUGGGAAGAACACCGGUGGCGAAGGCGGCCCGCUGGACCGACACUGACGCUGAGGCGCGAAAGCGUGGGGAGCAAACAGG
rnacentral:rRNA from 1 species